GUCGAGAAUCUUUCACAAUGGGGGCAACCCUGAUGGAGCGACGCCGCGUGGAGGAUAAGGUCUUCGGAUUGUAAACUCCUGUCAUGCGUGAACAAGGUUGCUUGGAUAAUACCUGAGCAAAUUGAUGGUAGCGCAAGAGGAAGAGACGGCUAACUCUGUGCCAGCAGCCGCGGUAAUACAGAGGUCUCAAGCGUUGUUCGGAAUCACUGGGCGUAAAGGGUGCGUAGGUGGCGUGGCAAGUCAGAUGUGAAAGCCCGGGGCUCAACCUCGGAACUGCAUCCGAUACUGCCAUGCUAGAGUACUGGAGGGGUGACUAGAAUUCUCGGUGUAGCAGUGAAAUGCGUAGAUAUCGAGAGGAAUACCAAAGGCGUAGGCAGGUCACUGGACAGUUACUGACACUGAGGCACGAAGGCCAGGGGAGCGAACGGGAUUAGAUACCCUUGUAGUCC
rnacentral:rRNA from 1 species